UAAAUUGUUUGGGGUAAAUCCUCAUUUGGUUAUAACAGACCCAUACUUUACUGCUCAGAAUCAUAAACUACUGUGUGAACAAUAAUAUUUUAAGAUAUUAA
rfam:Populus trichocarpa isolate Nisqually-1 chromosome 17, whole genome shotgun sequence.